GACGAACGCUGGCGGCGUGCUUAACACAUGCAAGUCGAACGGAAAGGCCCUGCUUUUGUUGGGUGCUCGAUUGGCGAACGGGUGAGUAACACGUGAGUAACCUGCCCUUGACUUUGGGAUAACUUCAGGAAAAUGGGGCUAAUACCGGAUAGGAGCUCCUGCUGCAUGGUGGGGGUUGGAAAGUGUCGGCGGUUGGGGAUGGACUCGCGGCUUAUCAGCUGGUUGGGGGGGUAGUGGCUUACCACGGCUUUGACGGGUAGCCUGCCUGAGAGGGUGACCAGCCACAUUGGGCCUGCGGUAGGGCGCAGUAUCCUACGGGCGGCAGCAGUGGGGAAUAUUGCACAAUGGGCGGGAGCCUGAUGCAGAAGCGCCGGGUGCGGGAUGACGGCCUUCGGGGUGUAAACAGAUUUCGACGGUGACGAAGAGUGAGUGACGGUAAUGGGUAAAGAAGCAACGGCUAACUACGUG
rnacentral:rRNA from 1 species